CUUAGCGCUGAUCAUCUCUACGCCGCUCCUCCCCGCCGUAGGUCGGCCCCCACGGCUCCAUCCGCCGGCAACCGCCCCACGCCUACGGCCAUACUCCUGGUCGUCACCGCGCCCUCACAGCCUCACUCCUGGCCGGUGCCGACUCCCGUCCCCAAUCCAACGCUCACCGCCGGCUGCACCCCACGUCGUGUCUGCCCCGCCGCCGGCCACACCAGCCUUCCCAUCCGCCACCAGUCGUGCCCACGCCGCCGGCGCCCACGCUCGAGUCCGCCCUUCGCUAUCACAGCCAACAUUGUUACCCUCAACAGCUUGCUCCCCAAGUUCCAUCACGGAUCCCCUCCCCUUCAAUACUUUUUUUUCUCCUCCUCCUCCCCCACCGCGCCUCGCCGCCGCCGUGCAUUGGAUUCGGGUGGCCAUGGGGGUGUACCUCAGCACGCCCAAGACGGAGAAGCACUGCAGCGACGGUGGGAACGACCGCCUCCGCUACGGUCUCGCCUCCAUGCAGGGGUGGCGGACCACCAUGGAGGACGCGCACACUGCUCUGCCAAGCCUUGAUGAAUGCACAUCCUUUUUUGGCGUCUAUGAUGGCCACGGAGGGAAGGCAGUAUCUAAGUUUUGUGCCAAACAUCUACACUUGCAAGUACUGAAAAUUGAGGCUUAUUCAUCUGGUGAUUUGGCCACUUCUGUCUUAAAGUCAUUUUUCAGGAUGGACGAGAUGAUGAAAGGGCAACGGGGGUGGAGAGAACUGGCUGAGUUGGGAGACCAGGGAUAAAAGUUUGCUGGCAUGCUAGAGGGCAUAAUAUGCUAGCCCUGUCGUUUCUGAACUUAUUAAGAAUAGGAGAUUCAACUGAAUGAGGUACUGCCUGUGACCAUGACUCCUGAUGCUAUUGCUAUCCAAUACUCUCUGGAGUGCACAUCACGAAAUUUCUACACCAGAUUCAUUAUCACAAUCAGAGUCGGAAGACUUCGUUCAGGGCCUCUUGCUGCGAAGUUCAUCUACCAGGAAAACCAUCUCAGGUGCACUCCUGUAGUGAAAACUAUCCCGCCUCAACGCCAACCACUACUGCUGAACGCCCUCCACGCCGAUGGCCUGCUGCCAAACGCCCUCCACGUCAGUUUCUGCCCCACCGCAGGUUCCUGCCGCCCCAACGCCAACCGCCGCUGCCGGAUGCCCUCCACGCCGACGGCCAGCUGCUGCCCCCACGCCUUGCCCACCGCUGGAUUGCUGGUUCUGCUCUUCUCCAUUUUAUAGUUAUCUGAAUUUCUAGCAGAUUGUUCAAUAGAUGCAUAGUCUCAAGAAUGGAAUUUUUGGAGGUGGACAACUAUAAGUGAUUAUGGAUGCAGCAUGAUAUGAGCUUAGACAAGUAUAAGAGCUUGCACUGUGCUUCUUUACUCUCGAAAGUUCUGUCACUUGAUUUACUAACAUCUCAAAUCACAUGAGUAAUGCCUCUUAGAAUUCUUGAAGGAGUCAGGCAAAGAAUUGUUCUCUGGUUGCAGAAGGGGAAAAAAAUCCUUACCAAGACUAUAUACCAAGGUUACUUCACACCAAGAACAUAUAAAUUAGACUGGUGGCCACUGUUUCCAGUUGAAUCAUGUGCUCCUAGCCAUAGACUGGAAAAGUUGAUAUUUUACCUAUAGGGUGAUGACGAAGGAGAGGGUGCUCCUUUGGUUGUUGUCAGUAAAUGAGGCAAAUGCGGCAAAGAUUUAACUCUUGACUCUCUUUUCCUGAUCAUUUUUGAAUUUUAGCUAAAGAACAAUUUGUCUGAACAAUUUGGUAUCCUUCAUCUUUUCAAUGUUGAUUUGUAUUGCUAAAUUAUACAGUUAGGUCUCAUAUUUGAGACGAUGUUGUG